rnacentral:lncRNA from 1 species
AUGCCUCGCAGGAAGGUUGCUGGGUGCGCACACACACACACACACACACCAUGCCUCGCAGGAAGGUUGCUGGGCGCGCACACGCGCAACAACAACCCAAACCCAACCCCCAACCAAAAUCCCUUUGCAGGAAGGUUGCUGGGCGCGCACACGCGCACACACACCAUGCUUUGCAGGAAGGUUGCUGGCCAUGCGCGCGCGCACACACAGACACACGCACCAUGCCUCGCAGGAAGGUUGCUGGGCGGGCACACGCACGCACGCACACACACACAGACCCAUGCCUCUCAGGAAGGUUGCUGGCGCGCCGCACGUGCAAAACGGGCCACACACACACACACACACACACCAUGCCUCUCAGGAAGGUUGCUGGGCGUGCGCGCGUGCACACAACACACACCAUGCCUCGCAGGAAGGUUGCUGGGCGGGCACACGCGCACACACACACACACACCAUUCCUCGCAGGAAGGUUGCUGGGCGCGCGCACACGCACACACACACACACACCAUGCCUCUCAGGAAGGUUGCUGGGCGCGCACGCGCACACACACACACACACCAUGCCUCGCAGGAAGGUUGAUGGGCGCGCACACACGCACACACACACACACACCAUGCCUCUCAGGAAGGUUGCUGGGCGUGUGCGCGCACGCACACACACACACACACCAUGCCUCGCAGGAAGGUUGCUGGGCGGGCACACGCCGCACACACACACACACCAUGCCUCUCAGGAAGGUUGCUGGGCGUGUGCGCGCACGCACACACAAACACACACCAUGCCUCGCAGGAAGGUUGCUGGGCGCGCACACGCACCACACACACACACACCAUGCCUCGCAGGAAGGUUGAUGGGCGCGCACACACGCACACACACACACACACCAUUCCUCGCAGGAAGGUUGAUGGGCGCGCGCACACACACACACACACACACACCACCAUGCCUCGCAGGAAGGUUGCUGGGCGCGCACGCGCGCACACACACACACACACACACCAUGCCUGGUAGGAAGGUUGCUGGGCGCGCACGCGCACACACACACACACACACACACACAUCUUGCCGUCGCAGGGAGGUUGCUUCUCGCGUACACACACACACACAGCAGCUGCCACAGCGCAGAAUAAAGCGCAAAGCUGCAAGCCUGACCUAUCCAAAUAGACGGCCGCGAGCAGGCCAGGCCAGGCCUAGCGCUCCCGCUGCAGGGUCCCGCGGAAGAAGCCGGGUCACCGCGGCCACCCGGGAGGCUCUCGGACGCCGCUCUUCUCGCGCGUGCGUAAGCAGGCACCGCCCAGCCGCGUCCCCUGGCUCCGCAAUCCGCUAG